rnacentral:rRNA from 1 species
UACGUAGGGGGCAAGCGUUGUCCGGAUUUAUUGGGCGUAAAGAGCGUGUAGGCGGCCAGGUAGGUCUGCUGUGAAAACUCGAGGCUUAACCUCGAGCUGUCGGCGGAAACCAUCUGGCUAGAGUCCGGAAGAGGAGAAUGGAAUUCCCGGUGUAGCGGUGAAAUGCGCAGAUAUCGGGAAGAACACCAGUGGCAAAGGCGGUUGCCUGGAGCUUUGCUGACGCUGAUGCGCGAAAGCGUGGGGAGCGAUCCGG